rnacentral:misc_RNA from 1 species
AAGUCGUAACAAGGUCUCCGUAGGUGAACCUGCGGAGGGAUCAUUACAGAGUUCAUGCCCUAACGGGUAGAUCUCCCACCCUAUGUUAUUAUUACUUUGUUGCUUUGGCGGGCCGUCAGGCUCACGCCCGGCUACCGGCUCACGCUGGUAAGCGCCCGCCAGAGAACCCCAAAACCCUGAAUAUUAGUGUCGUCUGAGUACUAUAUAAUAGUUAAAA